rnacentral:rRNA from 1 species
ACAGCAGUCGCCACGGUAAUACGUAGGGUGCAAGCGUUAAUCGGAAUUACUGGGCGUAAAGCGUGCGCAGGCGGUUCUAUAAGACAGAUGUGAAAUCCCCGGGCUCAACCUGGGAACUGCAUUUGUGACUGUAGAGCUGGAGUGCGGCAGAGGGGGAUGGAAUUCCGCGUGUAGCAGAGAAAUGCGUAGAUAUGCGGAGGAACACCGAUGGCGAAGGCAAUCCCCUGGGCCUGCACUGACGCUCAUGCACGAAAGCAUGGGGAGCAAACAGGAUUAGAGACCCCAGUAGUCCCUGUCUCUUAUAC